rnacentral:rRNA from 1 species
CCUACGGGAGGCAGCAGUGAGGAAUAUUGGUCAAUGGACGAGAGUCUGAACCAGCCAAGUAGCGUGAAGGAUGACUGCCCUAUGGGUUGUAAACUUCUUUUAUAAAGGAAUAAAACGAGGCACGUGUGCCUUUUUGCAUGUACUUUAUGAAUACGGAUCGGCUAACUCCGUGCCAGCAGCCGCGGUAAUACGGAGGCUCCGAGCGUUAUCCGGAUUUAUUGGGUUUAAAGGGCGCGUAGAUGGGUUGUUAAGUCAGUUGUGAAAGUUUGCGGCUCAACCGUAAAAUUGCAAUUGAUACUGGCAGUCUUGAGUACAGUUGAGGUAGGCGGAAUUCGUGGUGUAGCAGUGAAAUGCUUAGAUAUCACGAAGAACCCCGAUUGCGAAGGCAGCUUACUAAACUGUGACUGACAUUGAUGCUCGAAAGUGUGGGUAUCAAACAGGAUUAGAUACCCUUGUAGUC